rnacentral:rRNA from 1 species
CCCUUAGAUGUCCGGGGCCGCACGCGCGCUACACUGAAGGAAUCAGCGUGGCUUUCUCCCUGACCCGAAAGGGUUGGGAAACCCGUUGAAUCUCCUUCGUGAUAGGGAUUGGGGCUUGAAAUUGUUCCCCAUGAACGAGGAAUUCCCAGUAAGCGCGAGUCAUAAGCUCGCGUUGAUUACGUCCCUGCCCUUUGUACACACCGCCCGUCGCUCCUACCGAUUGAAUGCUCAGGUGAGCCAUUCGGACUUUCAUCAUGCUGGUUUCCAGUUUUGAUGAAGGAAAGUCUUGCGAACCUUAUCAUUUAGAGGAAGGAGAAGUCGUAACA